rnacentral:tRNA from 1 species
CGGGACGUGGCGCAGCUUGGUAGCGCACCCGCUUUGGGAGUGGGGGGUCGCAGGUUCAAAUCCUGUCGUCCCGA